rnacentral:rRNA from 1 species
UGCAGUCGAGGGGUAUUGUUCUUCGGAAUGAGGGACCGGCGCACGGGUGCGUAACGCGUAUGCAAUCUACCUUUCACAGAGGGAUAGCCCAGAGAAAUUUGGAUUAAUACCUCAUAGUAUAUAGAGUUGGCAUCAACAUUAUAUUAAAGUCACAACGGUGAAAGAUGAGCAUGCGUCCCAUUAGCUUGUUGGUAAGGUAACGGCUUACCAAGGCAACGAUGGGUAGGGGUCCUGAGAGGGAGAUCCCCCACACUGGUACUGAGACACGGACCAGACUCCUACGGGAGGCAGCAGUGAGGAAUAUUGGACAAUGGGCGCAAGCCUGAUCCAGCCAUGCCGCGUGCAGGAUGACGGUCCUAUGGAUUGUAAACUGCUUUUGCACAGGAAGAAACACUCGGACGUGUCCGAGCUUGACGGUACUGUGAGAAUAAGGAUCGGCUAACUCCGUGCCAGCAGCCGCGGUAAUACGGAGGAUCCAAGCGUUAUCCGGAAUCAUUGGGUUUAAAGGGUCCGUAGGCGGUUUGGUAAGUCAGUGGUGAAAGCCCAUCGCUCAACGGUGGAACGGCCAUUGAUACUGCUAGACUUGAAUUAUUAGGAAGUAACUAGAAUAUGUAGUGUAGCGGUGAAAUGCUUAGAGAUUACAUGGAAUACCAAUUGCGAAGGCAGGUUACUACUAAUGGAUUGACGCUGAUGGACGAAAGCGUGGGUAGCGAACAGGAUUAGAUACCCUGGUAGUCCACGCCGUANACGAUGGAUACUAGCUGUUGGGAGCAAUCUCAGUGGCUAAGCGAAAGUGAUAAGUAUCCCACCUGGGGAGUACGUUCGCAAGAAUGAAACUCAAAGGAAUUGACGGGGGCCCGCACAAAGCGUGGAGCAUGUGGUUUAUUCGAUGAUACGCGAGGAACCUUACCAA